rnacentral:rRNA from 1 species
GACGAACGCUGGCGGCGUGCUUAACACAUGCAAGUCGAACGAUGAACCCGGAGCUUGCUCUGGGGGAUUAGUGGCGAACGGGUGAGUAACACGUGAGUAACCUGCCCUGGACUCUGGGAUAAGCGUUGGAAACGACGUCUAAUACCGGAUAGGACCUUGGAUCGCAUGAUCUGGGGUGGAAAGUUUUUUCGGUCUGGGAUGGACUCGCGGCCUAUCAGCUUGUUGGUGAGGUAAUGGCUCACCAAGGCGUCGACGGGUAGCCGGCCUGAGAGGGUGACCGGCCACACUGGGACUGAGACACGGCCCAGACUCCUACGGGAGGCAGCAGUGGGGAAUAUUGCACAAUGGGCGAAAGCCUGAUGCAGCAACGCCGCGUGCGGGAUGACGGCCUUCGGGUUGUAAACCGCUUUUAGUAGGGAAGAAGGGCUUCGGCUUGACGGUACCCGCAGAAAAAGGACCGGCUAACUACGUG